rnacentral:rRNA from 1 species
UAGGAAAUCUUCGGCAAUGGGGGGAACCCUGACCGAGCAACGCCGCGUGAGUGAAGAAGGUUUUCGGAUCGUAAAGCUCUGUUGUUAAGGAAGAACGAGUGUGAGAAUGGAAAGUUCAUGCUGUGACGGUACUAACCAGAAAGGGACGGCUAACUACGUGCCAGCAGCCGCGGUAAUACGUAGGUCCCGAGCGUUGUCCGGAUUUAUUGGGCGUAAAGCGAGCGCAGGCGGUUAGAAAAGUCUGAAGUGAAAGGCAGUGGCUCAACCAUUGUAGGCUUUGGAAACUGUUUAACUUGAGUGCAGAAGGGGAGAGUGGAAUUCCAUGUGUAGCGGUGAAAUGCGUAGAUAUAUGGAGGAACACCGGUGGCGAAAGCGGCUCUCUGGUCUGUAACUGGCGCUGAGGCUCGAAAGCGUGGGGAGCGAACAGG